GACGAACGCUGGCGGCGUGCUUAACACAUGCAAGUCGAACGGAAAGGCCCUGCUUUUGUGGGGUGCUCGAGUGGCGAACGGGUGAGUAACACGUGAGUAACCUGCCCUUGACUUUGGGAUAACUUCAGGAAACUGGGGCUAAUACCGGAUAGGAGCUCCUGCUGCAUGGUGGGGGUUGGAAAGUUUCGGCGGUUGGGGAUGGACUCGCGGCUUAUCAGCUUGUUGGUGGGGUAGUGGCUUACCAAGGCUUUGACGGGUAGCCGGCCUGAGAGGGUGACCGGCCACAUUGGGACUGAGAGACGGCACAGACUACUACGGGAGGCAGCAGUGGGGAAUAUUGCACAAUGGGCGGAAGCCUGAUGCAGCAAAGCCGCGUGCGGGAUGACGGCCUUCGGGUUGUAAACCGCUUUCGCCUGUGACGAAGCGUGAGUGACGGUAAUGGGUAAAGAAGCACCGGCUAACUACGUG
rnacentral:rRNA from 1 species